GAUGAACGCUGGCGGCGUGCCUAAUACAUGCAAGUCGAGCGAACAGACGAGGAGCUUGCUCCUCUGACGUUAGCGGCGGACGGGUGAGUAACGCGUGGAUAACCUACCUAUAAGACUGGGAUAACUUCGGGAGACCGGAGCUAAUACCGGAUAAUAUAUUGAACCGCAUGGUUCAAUAGUGAAAGACGGUUUUGCUGUCACUUAUAGAUGGAUCCGCGCCGCAUUAGCUAGUUGGUAAGGUAACGGCUUACCAAGGCGACGAUGCGUAGCCGACCUGAGAGGGUGAUCGGCCACACUGGAACUGAGACACGGUCCAGACUCCUACGGGAGGCAGCAGUAGGGAAUCUUCCGCAAUGGGCGAAAGCCUGACGGAGCAACGCCGCGUGAGUGAUGAAGGUCUUCGGAUCGUAAAACUCUGUUAUUAGGGAAGAACAAAUGUGUAAGUAACUAUGCACGUCUUGACGGUACCUAAUCAGAAAGCCACGGCUAACUACGUG
rnacentral:rRNA from 1 species